rnacentral:rRNA from 1 species
UGGUGGAGUGAUUUGUCUGGUUAAUUCCGUUAACGAACGAGACCUUAACCUGCUAACUAGUUCUAUAGAUUUCGAUCUGUAGUAACUUCUUAGAGGGACUGUGUGCGACAAGCACAAGGAAGUUUGAGGCAAUAACA